rnacentral:rRNA from 1 species
AGAGUUUGAUCAUGGCUCAGGACGAACGCUGGCGGCGUGCUUAACACAUGCAAGUCGAACGGAAAGGCCCUGCUUGCAGGGUACUCGAGUGGCGAACGGGUGAGUAACACGUGGGUGAUCUGCCCUGCACUUCGGGAUAAGCCUGGGAAACUGGGUCUAAUACCGGAUAGGAGCCAUUUUUAGUGUGAUGGUUGGAAAGUUUUUUCGGUGUAGGAUGAGCUCGCGGCCUAUCAGCUUGUUGGUGGGGUAAUGGCCUACCAAGGCGGCGACGGGUAGCCGGCCUGAGAGGGUGGACGGCCACAUUGGGACUGAGAUACGGCCCAGACUCCUACGGGAGGCAGCAGUGGGGAAUAUUGCACAAUGGGCGCAAGCCUGAUGCAGCGACGCCGCGUGGGGGAUGACGGCCUUCGGGUUGUAAACUCCUUUCGCUAGGGACGAAGCUUUUUGUGACGGUACCUAGAUAAGAAGCACCGGCUAACUACGUGCCAGCAGCCGCGGUAAUACGUAGGGUGCGAGCGUUGUCCGGAAUUACUGGGCGUAAAGGGCUCGUAGGUGGUUUGUCGCGUCGUCUGUGAAAUUCCGGGGCUUAACUCCGGGCGUGCAGGCGAUACGGGCAUAACUUGAGUACUGUAGGGGUAACUGGAAUUCCUGGUGUAGCGGUGAAAUGCGCAGAUAUCAGGAGGAACACCGAUGGCGAAGGCAGGUUACUGGGCAGUUACUGACGCUGAGGAGCGAAAGCAUGGGUAGCGAACAGGAUUAGAUACCCUGGUAGUCC